rnacentral:rRNA from 1 species
UACGUAGGGGCCUAGCGUUGUCCGGAUUUAUUGGGCGUAAAGAGCUCGUAGGCGGCUCGUCGCGUCGACCGUGAAAACCCGCGGCUUAACUGCGGGCUUGCGGUUGAUACGGGCGGGCUAGAGUUCGGUAGGGGAGACUGGAAUUCCUGGUGUAGCGGUGAAAUGCGCAGAUAUCAGGAGGAACACCGGUGGCGAAGGCGGGUCUCUGGGCCGAUACUGACGCUGAGGAGCGAAAGCGUGGGGAGCGAACAGG